rnacentral:rRNA from 1 species
AUUGAACGCUGGCGGCAGGCCUAACACAUGCAAGUCGAGCGAGCGGCGGACGGGUGAGUAAUGUCUGGGAAACUGCCGGAUGGAGGGGAUAACCGGUUGGAACCGUAGCCUAAACCCGCUAACCAUCAACGAGCCCCCAGGGGAUUAGGUAGUGGGUGGGGUAACGGCCCACCUAGGCGACGAUCCCUAGCUGGUCUGAGAGGAUGACCAGCCACACUGGAACUGAGACACGGUCCAGACUCCUACGGUAGGCAGCAGUGGUGAAUAUUGCACAAUGGGCGAAAGCCUGAUGCAGCCAUGCCGCGUGUGUGAAGAAGGCCUUCGGGUUGUAAAGCACUUUCAGCGGGGAGGCGUUCCCCUCAGAAGAAGCCCCUGCUAACUCCGUGCCAGCAGCCGCGGUAAUAC